GAUGGUACCUUUGGUGUCUACAUGAAAUUAGAGUGAGAUAUUCAAAGAACUGCCUGCUCUAUCCAGAACUGCAGUAGUAUUCUGCUAUGUUCACCAUUUCUAAAAUGAAGCAGUGAAGCAAGGCAGAUAGCAAGCAGAGACAUUCUGACUUCAACCUUACUACAGCUGGAAGGAUGUUUCACAGGGGGAUUGGAGCAGUGAUGUGAGAACUUACACUGGUGCUGCUGGCAUGCCUCUUGGCUUUUCUUAUUCCUAAAGAUGGACCCAGAUGUGUCUUGCCAAGUCCUCCAGACAUGAUUUAAUGGCCAUCCUUUAACAUCACAGGUAUUUUAGGAAUAUUUGAAAUUCUA
rnacentral:lncRNA from 1 species